rnacentral:rRNA from 1 species
UCCGGUUGAUCCUGGCAGAGGUUACUGCUAUCGAGGUUCGACUAAGCCAUGCGAGUCGAAUGUAGCAAUACAUGGCGAACUGCUCAGUAACACGUGGACAACCUGCCCUUAGGUUGGGUAUAAACCCGGGAAACUGGGUAUAAUACCCGAUAGGUCUCGAUUGCUGGAAUGCAUCGAGAUUUAAAGCUCCGGCGCCUAAGGAUGGGUCUGCGGCCUAUCAGGUAGUAGUGGGUGUAGCGUACCUACUAGCCUACGACGGGUACGGGUUGUGAGAGCAAGAGCCCGGAGAUGGAUUCUGAGACACGAAUCCAGGCCCUACGGGGUGCAGCAGGCGCGAAAACUUUACAAUGCUGGCAACAGCGAUAAGGGAACCUCGAGUGCCAGGUUACAAAUCUGGCUGUCGAGAUGCCUAAAAAGCAUUUCAUAGCAAGGGCCGGGCAAGACCGGUGCCAGCCGCCGCGGUAACACCGGCGGCUCGAGUGGUAACCGUUAUUAUUGGG